UAGGAUUUCCUUAGUAGCGGCGAGCGAACAGGAAUAAGCCCAGCACUGAAUCCUGCUUUCGUAACCGAAAGUCGGGAAAUGUAGUGUUUUAGGAGGAUCCGUUAUCCCGAAAUUUUGAAAUGAGUCAAAGUCCUUCUUGAACGGGGCCAUUACCCAUAGAGGGUGCCAGGCCCGUAGGACCGUUACUGAUUUCGGGAGGAUCUCUCUUUAGAGUCGGGUUGCUUGAGAGUGCAGCCCUAAGUGGGUGGUAAACUCCAUCUAAGGCUAAAUAUGACCACGAGACCGAUAGCGAACAAGUACCGUGAGGGAAAGUUGAAAAGUACUUUGAAGAGAGAGUUCAAUAGUACGUGAAACUGUUCAGGGGUAAGCCUGAGAAACCCGAAAUUAUAUACAGAAAAGAUUCAGCACGUUUCGUAUGUAUAAGCGGCGUUAUGUUUUCUUACGACAGUACCUGGUUCAUUAAUUUGGAUGUUUGGUCUGCGUAGAUUGCAUAUUCGUACCGUCUUCGAACGUGUGCACUUCUUUUAUGUUAAAUACGUUGCGAUUCGUUGUGUAUCGGUCUACGGCUGUCGGUGGCAGACCGUAUAAGGAUACGUUUCUUUUCCAAGGGCGUAUUGUAACUUGUACGAACCCGACAUGUACCUGACCGAUUUGCAUGACGGUAUUAUAUAAAGACGUUUAAUCGCCAUUAUAGGCGUUCGAACAAUGACAAACGUUUCGUACGUAUAGUUACUCGGACUUUGUCCGAUUCUAUCGGACGAACGUUGUUGGUUAUUGAUUAUAUCUCGAACCGUAAUAAUAUUACGUUUAUCUGCGACGCUAUAGAUUCGGGUAUUUCAGGACNNNNNNNNNNNNNNNNNNNNNNNNNNNNAGCAUGUGUGCAAGUCAUUGGGAUACAAUUAAACCCAAAGGCGUAAUGAAAGUAAAGGUCAGCCUUUUGCGCUGGCUUAGGGAAGAUGAUCGUACGUAAACGGAUUUUAAUUUAAAGAUUUUCAAUUUUAAUUGUUAAUCAAUAAAGUCCGGCGUUCCGCAUUCCCGGAGCGUCUCUUUCGCUCAUAUUCGUUUCGGCUUUUAUGAGUUGAGGCGCAUCCAGAGCAUACACGCUGGGACCCGAAAGAUGGUGAACUAUGCCUGGUCAGGACGAAGUCAGGGGAAACCCUGAUGGAGGUCCGUAGCGAUUCUGACGUGCAAAUCGAUCGUCUGAACUGGGUAUAGGGGCGAAAGACUAAUCGAACCAUCUAGUAGCUGGUUCCCUUCGAAGUUUCCCUCAGGAUAGCUGGCGCUCGUAAUAAAAGAGUUUCAUCCGGUAAAGCGAAUGAUUAGAGGCCUUGGGGUCGAAACGACCUCAACCUAUUCUCAAACUUUAAAUGGGUGAGAUCUUCGGCUUGCUCGAAUUAUGAAGCCGAAGAAUCGAAUCCG
rnacentral:rRNA from 1 species